rnacentral:rRNA from 1 species
UGAAUACGAGACGCUAAGGCGUCGAAGUAGUGUAUGUCAUACUUCCAAGAAAAGCUUGCACUGUCAUAGAUAAAAAACGCCUGUACCAUAACCGACACAGGUGGGUAGGUAGAGUAUACUAAGGGGCGCGAGAUAACUCUCUCUAAGGAACUCGGCAAAAUAACUCCGUAACUUCGGGAGAAGGAGUGCCUUAUUCGUAAGGUUGCAAUAACAAGAUCCAAGCAACUGUUUAUCAAAAACACAGGUCUCCGCUAAGUCGUAAGACGAUGUAUGGGGGCUGACGCCUGCCCAGUGCCAGAAGGUUAAAGAAGUUGGUUAGCAAUUGCGAAGCUGAUAACUGAAGCCCUGGUGAACGGCGGCCGUAACGAUAACGGUCCUAAGGUAGCGAAAUUCCUUGUCGGGUAAGUUCCGACCCGCACGAAAGGCGUAAUGAUUUGGAUACUGUCUCGGAGAGGGGCUCGGUGAAAUAGACUUGUCUGUGAAGAUGCGGACUACCUGCACCAGGACAGAAAGACCCUAUGAAGCUUUACUGUAACUUGAAAUUGAAAUUGGACUUUAUUCGCGCAGUAUAGGUGGGAGGCGUUGAUUAUAAUCUUGUGGGAUUAUUGGAGCCAUCAGUGAGAUACCACUCUUGUAAUGUUAGAUUUCUAACUUUGAAUCAUUAUCUGGUCAAAGAACAGUUUCAGGCGGGCAGUUUGACUGGGGCGGUCGCCUCCUAAACGGUAACGGAGGCGUACAAAGGUUUCCUCUGAACGGUUAGAAAUCGUAUCUAGAGUGUAAAGGCAUAAGGAAGCUUGACUGUGAGACCUACAAGUCGAGCAGGGACGAAAGUCGGUCUUAGUGAUCUGACGGUACUGAGUGGAAAGGCCGUCACUCAACGGAUAAAAGUUACUCUAAGGAUAACAGGCUGAUCUCCCCCAAGAGUUCACAUCGACGGGGAGGUUUGGCACCUCGAUGUCGGCUCAUCGCAUCCUGGGGCGGUAGUACGUCCCAAGGGUUGGGCUGUUCGCCCAUGAAAGCGGUACGCGAGCUGGGUUCAGAACGUCGUGAGACAGUUCGGUCCAUAUCCGGUGUAGGCGUUAGAAUUUUGAGAGGAGCCUUCUUUAGUACGAGAGGACCGAGAAGGACAUACCUCUGGUGUACCAGUUAUCGUGCCAACGGUAAACGCUGGGUAGCUAUGUAUGGAGUGGAUAACCGCUGAAAGCAUCUAAGUGGGAAGCCCACCUCAAGAUAAGUAUUCUCAUCA